AGUAAAGUCAGCUAAAUAAGCUUCCGGGCCCAUACCCCUGAAAUGUUGGUUAAACCCCUUCUUUUACUA
rnacentral:tRNA from 1 species